rnacentral:misc_RNA from 1 species
GGAUUUGCAGGCCUACCAGAAACGGAUGGGAGUGCAGAU